UGGGGAAUAUGGGACAAUGGGCGCAAGCCUGAUCCAGCCAUGCCGCGUGAGUGAUGAAGGCCCUAGGGUUGUAAAGCUCUUUCACCGGUGAAGAUAAUGACGGUAACCGGAGAAGAAGCCCCGGCUAACUUCGUGCCAGCAGCCGCGGUAAUACGAAGGGGGCUGGCGUUGUUCGGAUUUACUGGGCGUAAAGCGCACGUAGGCGGACUUUUAAGUCAGGGGUGAAAUCCCGGGGCUCAACCCCGGAACUGCCUUUGAUACUGGAAGUCUUGAGUAUGGUAGAGGUGAGUGGAAUUCCGAGUGUAGAGGUGAAAUUCGUAGAUAUUCGGAGGAACACCAGUGGCGAAGGCGGCUCACUGGACCAUUACUGACGCUGAGGUGCGAAAGCGUGGGGAGCAAACAGG
rnacentral:rRNA from 1 species